rnacentral:lncRNA from 1 species
AUAGUCUGUACUACUUCACUCCUCAUCUUCAAGUCCCUUGCUCUCUUCUUCAUCAUUACCAAUGGAACUCUAAGCUUACCAUCUCUCCUCCCAAUAGCGAGAAACUCUCUCUCCAUCUUCUCCUUCUUCUUCUUCUUAAUCUCUUUUUCAUCUUCUUUGUUUUCUUUGUCUUCCUUUCUUCUUAUUGUUCUUCUUCCAGUUCUUUCUGAUUAAUGCUACUAAUCAUAAAACCACCGUGAUCCUGAUUGUUGAUGUACAUAUUCAGUUCCGAAAUCCAUUUCUCAUGUAGUCUCCUUACCAGUUUGAUAGUUACCGUGAAUCGUUUUGGCUUAUUGCAGAAAUAAAAUGGCUGACGAGUGUGAAUUUCAAUGGAGAACCAGCGAGCGAUUUACUUUUAGCAACAUGGUAUGCGUCUGAAAUCAUCUAGAGUUUUCUUCUAUCGAUUCUUAAUCGUGCCUGCCAACAUUGAUUUAGAUGGGAUACUGAUGCGAAAGAUCUGUUUAAAACAUAGAAUUUGAGUAAUCGGCUUCCAGAACGUUUGUGAUACUUUGAUUAUUUCAAGCUAUUCUAGAAAUUAAAGACCUUUGGUGUCUAUUUUAGUGGAUUGUUAAGCUCUUAGGCUACCGCAAACCAGAAAAAAAAAUCACAUUAAUUCAUACCUUGAAAAACAAAAAAAAAAGAGCAAAAGCCAAAGAAGACAUUUAAUAAUACUAGGUAUUUGGCAUGCCCCUUGCACGGACAAAAAGAUUUCAUUAAUUAAACACAUUAUAGGUAGAUUAUAAAAUUAAUUAUUAAUAAUAAAUAAAAAAUAUAAAAAAAAUGUGAAACAUAUGUUCAACAAACAAAAAAACAUAAAAAAUAAUAAUAUCUAUCAAUAUAAACUAACGAAAACCAAUUAUUGUAUCAAAACUACAAAGAUGAUUAAAAUAAGACAAAUGACCGAUUUAAAAAAUAUCCUAAAACAUUUUUUAUAUACAACAUUGAUAAUCUUCUACUGUGACUUUCCUUUUAGAUUUAUAAUUAAAAAUCUUGAGUUCUUUUUUCAAUAUAACCCUUAAUUCUUCGUUCUCCCUAGCCAGAAAUCUUUUUCAGUUCUAUGGGUAUUGUUUUUAUUGGUUCUUAUCUGAUAACACCGUAUUUUGAACAAUUUUAUGGAUGAUUCUAAGAUUUUAUUCAGGUUUUUUAACUUAGUAUUCAAUGGUUUUCAAGUGAUUUCUAUGUUUUAGAGUUUCAAAAGAGUUUUCAGGAUAUUUGGACAAAAAGAAUGCAAUUGGAACAAAAAUACAACUUUGGAUAAAUUAGGCAGUCAGAAAUUUGGUAACAAAUGGAGACUUUCCCACCGUCUGAUCAUCCCCAAAUUUGGACAAAAGAUAUAGCAGAAAACUAGCUUUCCAAUGCAAUUAGAAUCGAAGCAAUCCAACCGUUGGAUCUCCAGAUAUGGUCAAUGCACAGAAGACAAAUCAACACAGUCGGAAGCUGACCCGUGCCCAAAGCAUAAUACACCGUGGCUGCGACAUUAUAGACCGCUGGGAGCCUAUUUCCGAGCCUUAGAAACCCAUUUUAAAGCCUAGGUCAUUCCUGUCAUUAUUCCUGAAAACCCUAGACAUUCCUGAAGACUCAAGAAACUAUAUAUACCUCUUUUAAAUCAUUUAGAAGGUGUGCCAUUUUUUGUCAAGAGUCCUAGAGAGAGCUGUUACCCGUGAAGAGGAUCCACCAAGAGGGGCACCAUUGGCCCUCCUUCAGCCUGUUCUUCGUUUCUGACCUUUGUUUUAUUUUAGUUCUCUACGUUUUAAAGACACCACCAAAAUCCCUACAAAAAUCGCAUGGUUCUAAACUUCCUUACUUCACAUUUCUUUCGAAGGCUUUUACAGGAAAAGAUUCUCCUUCUCUUUGGAUUCGAUCCCUAAGUAUUACAAUCGAUCAGCUGUGCACUUGCGGCUAUUAAUUCCAUUUAGGGUAAAACUAAAAAACUGAAUGUCAGGUCGCUUGAGAGUCAAGUACUGCAGUUUACCUGUAAUGCUUUGGAAGUAUGUUGACUCAGAGAUUAACUCUGUGUUGCAGAACGCUUCAUCGAGUCAUAUUGGAAGUGGUGUCGGCAUUGGUUUUGCGCUGGCCAUGCCUGCUUCUUCCAAAAUUUUGUCUGCAUAUGUUAACUUGUUGAGAAAGAGUCCAUCAGGAUGAUCUUUAAUUGGAAUACCAAGGAAAUAUGUAGGAGCUCCUAGAUUCUUCAUAGAGAACUUGGUGCUGAGUUCUCGGAUCAGAAUGUUAACAAGGUCCGGUGAGCUACCUGUCAGAAGAACAUCAUCAACAUAGAGCAACAGGUAUAAAGUAUGCCCUCUACACUGAAAUAUGAAGAGAGAAGGAUCAACAUUGCUACAAGUAAAACCAAAUUCAAGAAGAAAAAUUGUGAACUUGUUGAAACAGGCCCUUGGUGCUUGUUUAAGUCCAUGACGAGUCUUGUGUAAUUUGCACACAUGGUUAGAAUAACCAGGGUUAACAAAUCCUGGAGUUUGCUCCAUAAAAACCUUUUCGUGAAUCUCUCCAUGGAGGAAGACAUUUUUCACAUCAAGAUGGGUUAUCGACCAUUCUUUUGCAACUACAACACCAGGAACUAUUCUUAUGGUAGAGGUUCUCACCACAGGACUAAAGGUUUUCACAUAAUCAACUCCUUUUUAUAGCAAAUCCCUUGGCAAUCAGGUGAGCUUUGCGUUUGUCAACACUCCUGUCUGCUUUUUGUUUUCCUGUAAAGAUCCACCCACAACCAAGGACAUGCAUAUCUGGAUGAAAGGGAACAAGAGACCAUGUACUGUUUUGAUCUUGAGCAGCCAUUUCCUCAUUGCAUGCAUCAGUCCAUCCAUCAUGUUUUAGAGCUUUCUUGAUAGUCUUAGGAUGGCAAGAAUAUCAGUUCUCGUAAACAGAAUAUAUCUGUGGUUCUGUUUGCGGAUUCCACUCUGCAGGAGAGUCCUCAUGGGGUGAGUGCGAGAAACCGCAGGAUUUUUGAUGAACAACUUUAUCUGGAACCACCUCUGAGAGACGUUUUCCAUCUUCAUUGUAGUAUUCACCAGCCUCAGUACAAUGUUGGUCUUCUGCAUUAGAAGAGCUGUCAUGAUCACUAACCAUGCCAAUGUUGAUCUUUGGUACGUAGAGCAGAAGGGAUGUUUGGUAGGAGUGUUGGUGGAGGCAGAGAUAGUUGCCAAGCUUUGAGCAGAAGAGUGGAGUAUGGAUCCACAAAAUCCUUAUACCUAUCUGUAAACUGAAAUACAUCUUCAUCAAAAAUAACAUGUUGCCAGUAUGUGGAUAUAAGCAUCAGUAUCCUUUGUAGUGAGAAUGAUAGCCAAGGAAUAUGCAUUGAAGAGACCGAGAAUCAAACUUAUGUGUAGCAUAGGGUCGAAGACAUGGGUAGCAAGCUGAACCAAAGACACGUAGGAAUAAGUACUCUGGUUUUUGGCUGUGCAGAGCUACAAAUGAACUUGUAAACUGUGGAUAGGUUGCUGGAAGCAGAUUACUCACAAAUUUUGCAGUGUAAAAAGCUUCAACCAAAUACUUGAAAGGUGUCUUGCUCUGAAAUAUCAUGGCAAGAGCAAGUUCAGUCAGAUGGCGAUGCUUAUGUUCUGCAAGGCUGUUUUGUUGCGGUGUGUAAAGGCAUGAGAGUUGAUGGCUUAUCCCAUGAUCUACCAAGUUUUUUCUGAAAAUGUUGCUUGUAUACUCACCUCCCCCAUCACUUUGAAAUAUUUUGAGUUUCUUGUUAAGCUGAUUUCAACUUGUUUUUGGAAUGCAACAAACACUUUGUAGAAAUCAGACUUGGAUUUUAGUGGAAACAACUAUGAAUACCGAGAGAAAUUAUCCACAAAUAUAGCAUAAUAUUUGAAUCCCUGAAUAGAUAUAACAGGUGAUGGACCCUAGAGAUCUCAAUGCAUACAAUCUAGGGAUGCCAAUGCUCUAGAAAAAGAAGAAAAAACGGCAACUUAGAACUUUUUCCCAUCUGACAAGACUUACAAACAGUAGACGAUAUGUAUUUAUUACUAGAUAUCUCCUUUUAGGUCUUCAAAUGCUUAAGAAUUUGAAAGUUUGCAUGCCCUAGACGCCUGUGCCACACCAGGUCACUUGCAGUCACAUGUCGAUUGGAGUCGAAAGCAAUAAAUUCUGAGUUCUUCAUCACAUAAAGGUUAUCAUGUCUGGGUCCUUUGGUCACCAUUUUCUGAGUUGGUAAGUCAAUCACACAUACCCGGUUAGCUAAAAAAAAACACAGCAGGGAUAGUCAUCACAUAACUUCGAGAUUGAUAAUAGAGACUUUUGUAUUUGGGGACAAACCAAGACAUCAAGUAGAGGGAUACUACCUUGAGGAGUAGUGAUGAUCGUGGAGCCAACAUGGGUAAUCGGGAGCUGCUGACCAUUAUCAACAAGAACACUUUCUAGCCCAUGAUAUGGAGUGGUGUUCUGAAGAGAUGUAGCUGAAGCAGUGAUGUGAGCUGUUGCACCUGAGUCGGGGUACCACUCCUGUCUCGUAGUAUCAUACACCUGAAGAACAGCAAGAGCCUGUGGAACAUCAUGACUCUGAUAGGCAUGGUCAAAGCAGUUCCAGCAUUUGAGAGCAGAGUGACCAACAUGGCCACAGAUUUGGCACACAUGACGAGAGGUAUUCUCUCGGUUUGACUGAGAUGGCUUCCAGCCUGAGGUAUUCACCAGUUCCGAGAAUCCUCUGCCUCUAUUGCCACGGCCUCUCUGACUAGUGUUGUCGUUGCAUUGAGUCUGAAAGACCGAGAAUGGAGUUAUAUCUGCAGGAGUCUCAUAGGAAUUCAGGUGGACAUUGAAUACAGAGAUUUCAGAAACCACGUCUCCAAAAUUGGGUAUUGGAAAACAUGACAUGGAGCUUUGAACGGCGGUGGAGGUAAGGUUAUAUUCCCGAGUUAACCUGUUGAGAAAAGUAAAGAUCUUCAAAGAUUCGUCAACAGGUUUGCCAAUAGAACUGAGCUGAUCACAGAUAGCUCGAAACUCAUGCACAUAGAUCUGAAACUCCUUGUCACAGGUGGAGAGAAGUUGGAGACGACGUCGGAGGUCGAACUCACGGACCACCGAACUUUUGUUGAAGUUAUCAGCUAGAGAGAGCCACACAUCGUGAGAUGUGGCUAAAUCAUGGACAUAAUCAAGGACUUUGUCAAACAGAGUACCAAAAAUCCAGGACUUGAUGAGCUCGUCAGCACAAAGCCAAGCUUCAUACGCCGGAUUUGGGGAGACAAUGGCUUCGUUUCUGAUAUUGACAGUGACAGUGGCUGCCGGAAUGGUCACUUGACCGUUGACAAAUCCAAGCAGCCUCUGGGUACGGAUAAGAGACUUGAACUGGAUUUUCCAGAGAAGAUAGUUGAUGUCAUUUAGCUUCUGAGUAACAGAGCUUGUAACAUGACUACUCGAAGGAAAAUGGUAAGGAUCUUGAGCUUCUGCCAUGACAUCGACCGGUUAGGGUUUAGAAGGGCUCUGAUACCAUAAUAGAAAGAGAAAGAGAGAUUGUAAAGUUUGAUAACACUCGAAAGUUUAACAUUCAUCAAACAACUCUUACAACUUAUAUAGAGCCUUAGCUCAGAUCAUUCUAGAAACCCUAAAAACAUGGUUCAAUUACAGCCACUAGUUACAAGUUAACAAUGGUUUGAAUUUGUUGAGAAGGACCACUUCUCCAGCUGGCUUCUGCAUCUUCAUGACCGUACUCUGUUCUUGUCGCAGAGACACUCCACUUUGUUGACUGUGUAUUGGACUUUUUCAGGUUGGUUUCUUCUGGCCCAAUAAUCCUUUUUAGCUUGUGUCUUCUUUCUGGCUCAUCUGAUGUUUGAACAGAGUAUGUUGACUUUCAUCAACUUCUCCUUUUUGUACAAAGUUUCUGAUCAGAAUCAAAAUCAAAGAACUCAAUUUCAUUGAUUUUUUUUUGUUACUUUGAAUCUCCAAUCAGAUUUGAAACCAUUCAUCAGUAUCAACAGUGUGAUAUCGUUCCUUACUCCGAAAGCUCUUUUCUCAAGUAACCCCGAAAGCUCCUUUCUCAAAUGACUCCAAAAGCUCCUUUCUCGUUCUCGGUUUGUAAGAUAUUUUACUCUAAUCCUUCAUCAGUAUUUCUUAAAUUUUGUUGUGCGUAUGAUGAAACAGCUUGUUUUCUAUUAGUAUCCAAAAUUUUAAAAAAAAAUUAGAUGAUUGAUUUUUUAAUACUUAAAAGUUUCUAAAUGUAUUGUGCUAUUGUCUUCAAUAUUAUCAUCAACAUUAACAUUAGUAGCUAUAAUUUAUUAUAAUUUUUGGUACUACUAAAUGUAUAUAUUUUUACAUUGAUAAUUCAGUCUAUAAUGAACAAAUAUUCUACAGUUAAUAACUAUUAUAUAUUAUAAUUGCGAAUGUGACUGUUAAGAUUGUGUACACAAUUAUACAAAUAGAUUUGUUAAAAUUUCUAAAUAUGAUAUCAUUUUGAAAAAAAAAUUUAAAAAUAUGAACGAAAACAAUUUUUCUCUAUAAAAUAAUAUAUAGAUAAAUAAAUAUCACGAUAAAUUAAUAAAAUAUUAUAAUCCUGACAUUAUUGAUUUAUAGAAGUUUUAUUGUAUGUAUUUAUAAAUUAGUUUGACACAUAAAUUAGUUUGAAAAAAUAUUCUACAGUUAAUAACUAUUAUAUAUUAUAAUUGCGAAUGUGACUGUUAAGAUUGUGUACACAAUUAUACAAAUAGAUUUGUUAAAAUUUCUAAAUAUGAUAUCAUUUGAAAAAAAAAUUUAAAAAUAUGAACGAAAACAAUUUUUCUCUAUAAAAUAAUAUGUAGAUAAAUAAAUAUCACGAUAAAUUAAUAAAAUAUUAUAAUUCUGACAUUAUUAAUUUAUAGAAGUUUUAUUGUAUGUAUUUAUAAUCUUAUCUUAUACAGAUGAGUGCGCUCAAUAUGAGUUAGACACAUAUAUAGGAUAACUAUGACUUAUGAGAUCAUGACAUGUGUUAUCGUUAAUAUACAUUGUAACAUAUAUCAAUAUAAUAAUAUAAAAUUUUCAUUUUUGAUUAUUUACUUUAAAAAAGGAUAAAAUAAAAUAUAUUUUUAAAAGGUAAAUUAUUAAACAAAAAGGUAAAGUAAGUUAAAAAAAAACAGAAAUUAUGUUUUUUGAACCUUGUUAAAUUAAAAAAAAAAAUUGAGAAAUACCAGUAACCAAUCAAAAAGUUAUUUAAAAAUACUAUUAUUUUAAUAACAUAUUUACCUUUUCACUCUAAUUAGAGAUGUAAAAUUCACCUGAAGAGGCAGAAGAUUAUGCAGUUUUGCA